rnacentral:rRNA from 1 species
AUGCCCCUCGCGACUUACCAGUACCAAGCGCUCAAAGAGGCCCUCGCCGCUUCCAUCUCCACCGCCGGCGACGUGCGCCGCCCCCACGCCCUCGCCGUAGUGUCGGGUCUCGCCGGCAACGGCUACGUCGUCUCCCUCCUCGUAUCCCGCUACUUCCGCCUCGGCGCCGCCAAUGCCGCGCGCAGGGCGUUCGACGCUGUUCCCCUUCGCCGGGCAGCAUCGCUCCCCGUCUCGGCGCCGCCGCCUAAGCCCCUCCUCUACAACGCCAUGAUCCGCGGGUACCUCGCUCUCGGCCUCCCCCGCCUGGCGGUCGAUGUCUUCCGAGAGAUGGCGUGCCCGCCCGACCGCCACACGUACCACCUCGCCGUGACGGCGUGCGCUCGCGCGUCGGAGUUUGAGCUCGGUCGGCGUAUCGGGAGCGAAGCAUGCUCCAGAGGACUUUCAACCGACCUCCUGGUCGGGACGGCGCUGGUCGUAAUGCAUUCUGAAGCAGGUGACAUGGAGGCUGCUCUCACGGUGUUUGAUGAAAUGCCGCACCGCGAUGACGUGGUGUGGAAUGCCCUCAUUGCUGGCUAUGCCCGUGCGAAUUGCAUGGGAGAGGCUCUCAGGUUAUUCGUAAGGAUGAGGAUGGUGGAUGGAGUGUCUCCGACUGAGGCAACAUUGGUGAGCUUGGUUUCCGGGUUUGCAAGCUAUGGUUCUUGGAAGGUCUGCUAUAUGAUUCAUGCUGUUGUGAUUAGGUCUGGUUUCCACCUUAACGUCUGUGUUUGCAACGCUCUCCUGGAGCUUUAUCUUUACUCCGGCUGUUUGAGGGAGGCUGUCAUGUUGUUUCGUCAGAUGGAGGUGAAAGAUUCCAUCACUUGGAGUACGAUUAUUGGUGGGCUUGUUCGGAAUGGACGACCGAAUUCUGCUCUUAACCUUUUCCACUGGAUGCUGUCAAAUUCGACUGUGUCGGCCACUAGGUCCAUCUUGCUUAAUGUCAUUGCGGCCUGCGCUGAGCUGGGGGAGUGGGAACAAGGAAGAUGGAUUGAACAAAGCUAUGUGCUGGCUGAUUCUAGUGAAUUCAAUAGAGAUCCAUCUUUGGUAACUGCACUGAUAUAUAUGUAUGCAAGGUGUGGACAGUUAGAUUCUUCAAUUGCUCUUCUACAUGGAGUUGCAGCAAUGAGAGAUGACAUAGUUGCAUGGAAUGCCAUGAUCAAAGGCUGUGGAGUUCUCGGGCAUGUGGGAAAGGCAAUAGGAUUUGCAGUGGAAAUGCAGAGGGUAGGCAUUGAUCCAGAUGCUGUCACAUUCUUGGAGAUCCUACCUAUGAUUUCUUCGAUACCAUCACUGAAGAAGGGGAUGGAAGCACAUGGUCAGAUCGUUAAAAGAGGUUUCCAGAAUGAAAGGACAAUUGCUAAUUCACUCAUUACCAUGUAUGGUCGAUGUGGGGAUCUUAGACAUUCAUUUGACACCUUUAGUGGGAUUGUGGACAAGGAUGUAAUCUCUUGGACUUCUAUGAUUCAGGUAUACGCCUGGAAUGGACAUGCUGUUGAAGUUGUCGAGCUUUUUGAGCUGAUGAAGAAAACAGAAGUGAAACCGAACCGCUACACCUUUCUUGCUGUGCUGUCUGCAUGUAAGAACACAGGUCUUGUUGAAGAGGGAAUGGACUUGCUCAAGUUCAUGGAAGAGCAAUAUGGUCUUGAGCCGGAUGUUGAGCAUAUUUCAUGUGUUGUUGAUAUGCUCUGUCGUACUGGACGCUUGACUGAUGCAUAUGCAUAUGACCUGAUAAAAAGUACUAUUUCUGAACGUGUAGACAAUCAUAUAUUAUGGGGGAUAUUGCUAAGUGCUUCCCGUUCAUCUGGGGAUUUGGUGAUUGGAGAAGCAGCUGCCAGACAUCUCUUGUCUCUGGAUCCAGAAAAUCGAGCCAACUAUAAAAUGCUUGCUGAUAUUUAUGUCUCGCUUGGGAGAAGGGAUAGUGCUGAUAAUAUCCUUAGACUAUCAUUGUCAAGAGGGCUAGACUCGAAACCAGGCUGCAGCUGGACUGAAGGUGGCUAA